UCCGAAUUGGUGUAGUGGCUAACAUUUGACGCUCUCAUCCGUCAUCCCUGAUCAGUACCGUCAAGCCCGGGGUUCGAUUCCCCGAUUCGGAG